UCUAUCAUAAAAGGAUAAAUCCCCGAUGUACUAUUUGAAUCGACUAAACUACUUUUAAAACCAGUUAAGAAACUAGAAACUAACCCUAGAAGAACCUCAGUCAAGCUUCCUUGUUCAUUACUGUAGGAUAGGCCCAUAGUUUAAUCUCUUUUUAGGUAGGAUCGACAGAAAUAAAAAACAGAUGGGCAACCAUGCAUGGUAAUUCUCGACCCUGUCUCCGAGGGACAGUUGAAUGAACGACUCAUGAAUACUGUCGGCACGGACGAGCCAAUAAUUCGAACGAGUUUAGUCUAUUUUGAAUUUUCUAGCUACCUU
rnacentral:sRNA from 1 species